GAAGGUAUUAACAGAAGUCUAUGGAAAGUUCUGACAGAAUGGUAUAAAGGUCAGUGUGUCAGUUGAGUUGGAUUGAGAGCUGGUGGGAGUCGAGAGCUGACGGUUGAGAGAGCUGGCAGAAAGAGGAGGAGAGCAGCAGAGGGAGCCCUGCCCUGCUACUGGAGUGCAGAGACAGAGAGAGAGAGAUAAGAAGCAGAGACCUGAGGAGAAAAGGCAGAGAGAGAGCGUGCAGGACAGCGCAGCGAAGGAGUCCAGAAAAGGGACAGUCUCCAAAGAGAAGAUGAAUGGAGAAAAUCUGCAGCCCGGCAUAGCCACCCAGAGGCUGGAAUCUAUAAGUUAGGAAUAUUGACUAUGUAACAAUUACAUCUGUGUGUGUACGUGGGAGGAACGUCCACCAGACAGUAGGCAAUCCUCCUGAAUGACCCAUUUAAGAAGGACAAUAGAACUCUGAAGAUACAAAUCUCCCACCAUCCUGAGGUGCUUCCUGGGAUGCUUCAUUGACACUACAAGGUCAGGUGAGAGUGUCACCUGAUGAAAAAUACCCCCUUGGACACUGCUGGUACUUUUCCACUGUAGGGGGAUGGGGAUCAAACAAAGGAUUCCGACCUUAGGUAAAUCCUUUUUAAGGGCUGGGGAGGGGGUUGAUCUUGACUCUCCCUCCAUUGCCUACCCAAGAAGAAAGACUGCUGAAAGUACCUGAAGGGACAAAGAAACUAACCUGAGGAGAAAGGCAGGGGUGAGUCCAGACUGAGACAGGGGUCCAGUCUGUAAGAAGAAAUAACUGGAACUGUAAGCUACAAAAACUCUGCAACUUACCUAAAAUAACAUUUAGAGUGAGAAAUUACUUCUUGAAACAACUGUCUUUAAGAUCUUACGCUUAGUAUGUGGAUUUUGUUUUAUUUGCUCAGUAAUAUGCUUUGCUGUGUUUGCCAUCCCUUAUAAUCACUUAACAUCUGCCUUUUAUAGUUAAUACAUUUGUUUUGUCUAUUAUUAAACCCAGUUUGUGCAAUUUCUACCUGGGG